rnacentral:rRNA from 1 species
UACGUAGGGGGCAAGCGUUGUCCGGAUUUAUUGGGCGUAAAGGGCGCGUAGGCGGGAUGGCAAGUCGGUCGUGAAAUCCCUCGGCUCAACUGAGGAUCGUCGAUCGAUACUGCCGUUCUUGAGGAUUGCAGAGGAGACUGGAAUUCCCGGUGUAGCGGUGAAAUGUGUAGAGAUCGGGAGGAACACCGGUGGCGAAGGCGGGUCUCUGGGCAAUUCCUGACGCUGAGGCGCGAAAGCGUGGGGAGCAAACGGG